rnacentral:rRNA from 1 species
GAUGAACGCUGACAGAAUGCUUAACACAUGCAAGUCAACUUGAAUUUGGGUUUUUAACUUCGGUUUGGGUGGCGGACGGGUGAGUAACGCGUAAAGAACUUGCCUCACAGCUAGGGACAACAUUUGGAAACGAAUGCUAAUACCUAAUAUUAUGAUAAUAGGGCAUCCUAUAAUUAUGAAAGCUAUAAGCGCUGUGAGAGAGCUUUGCGUCCCAUUAGCUAGUUGGCGAGGUAACGGCUCACCAAGGCGAUGAUGGGUAGCCGGCCUGAGAGGGUGAUCGGCCACAAGGGGACUGAGACACGGCCCUUACUCAUACGGGAGGAAGCAGUGGGGAAUAUUGGACAAUGGACCGAGAGUCUGAUCCAGCAAUUCUGUGUGCAAGAUGAAGUUUUUCGGAAUGUAAAGUGCUUUCAGUUGGGAAGAAACAAAUGACGGUACCAAAAGAAGAAGUGACGGCUAAAUACGUG